AACGAACGCUGGCGGCGUGCUUAACACAUGCAAGUCGAACGGAAAGGCCCUGCUUUUGUGGGGUGCUCGAGUGGCGAACGGGUGAGUAACACGUGAGUAACCUGCCCUUGACUUUGGGAUAACUUCAGGAAACUGGGGCUAAUACCGGAUAGGAGCUCCUGCUGCAUGGUGGGGGUUGGAAAGUUUCGGCGGUUGGGGAUGGACUCGCGGCUUAUCAGCUUGUUGGUGGGGUAGUGGCAUACCAAGGCUUUGACAGGUAGCCGGCCUGAGAGGGUGACCGGCCACAUUGGGACUGAGAUACGGCCCAGACUCCUACGGGAGGCAGCAGUGGGGAAUAUUGCACAAUGGGCGGAAGCCUGAUGCAGCAACGCCGCGUGCGGGAUGACGGCCUUCGGGUUGUAAACCGCUUUCGCCUGUGACGAAGCGUGAGUGACGGUAAUGGGUAAAGAAGCACCGGCUAACUACGUG
rnacentral:rRNA from 1 species